rnacentral:rRNA from 1 species
GACGAACGCUGGCGGCGUGCUUAACACAUGCAAGUCGAACGGAAAGGCCCUGCUUUUGUGGGGUGCUCGAGUGGCGAACGGGUGAGUAACACGUGAGUAACCUGCCCUUGACUUUGGGAUAACUUCAGGAAACUGGGGCUAAUACCGGAUAGGAGCUCCUGCUGCAGGGUGGGGGUUGGAAAGUUUCGGCGGUGGGGGAUGGACUCGCGGCUUAUCAGCUUGUUGGGAGGGUAGUGGCUUACCACGGCUUUGACGGGUAGCCGGCCUGAGAGGGUGACCGGCCACGUUGCGACUGAGAUACGGCCCCGACUCCUACGGGAGGCAGCAGUGGGGAAUGUUGCACAAUGGGCGGACGCCUGAUGCAGCAACGCCGCGUGCGGGAUGGCGGCCUUCGGGUUGUAAACCGCUUUCGACUGUGACGAAGCGUGAGUGACGGUAAUGGGUAAAGAAGCACCGGCUAACUACGUG